rnacentral:rRNA from 1 species
GAUGAACGCUGGCGGCGUGCCUAAUACAUGCAAGUCGAGCGAACAGAUGAGAAGCUUGCUUCUCUGAUGUUAGCGGCGGACGGGUGAGUAACACGUGGGUAACCUACCUAUAAGACUGGGAUAACUCCGGGAAACCGGGGCUAAUACCGGAUAAUAUUUUGAACCGCAUGGUUCAAUAGUGAAAGACGGUUUCGGCUGUCACCUAUAGAUGGACCCGCGCCGUAUUAGCUAGUUGGUAAGGUAACGGCUUACCAAGGCGACGAUACGUAGCCGACGUGAGAGGGUGAUCGGCCACACUGGAACGGAGACACGGUCCAGACUCCUACGGGAGGCAGCAGUAGGGAAUCUUCCGCAAUGGGCGAAAGCCUGACGGAGCAACGCCGCGUGAGUGAUGAAGGUCUUCGGAUCGUAAAACUCUGUUGUUAGGGAAGAACAAAUUUGUUAGUAACUGAACGAGUCUUGACGGUACCUAACCAGAAAGCCACGGCUAACUACGUGCCAGCCGCCGCAGUAA